UGAGGAAUAUUGGUCAAUGGACGAGAGUCUGAACCAGCCAAGUAGCGUGCAGGAUGACGGCCCUAUGGGUUGUAAACUGCUUCUGUUUGGGAAUAAUCGACAUUACGUGUAAUGUUUUGCAUGUACCAUUCGAAUAAGGACCGGCUAAUUCCGUGCCAGCAGCCGCGGUAAUACGGAAGGUCCAGGCGUUAUCCGGAUUUAUUGGGUUUAAAGGGAGUGUAGGCGGUUGGUUAAGCGUGUUGUGAAAUGUAGAUGCUCAACAUCUGAAUUGCAGCGCGAACUGGCUGACUUGAGUACACACGACGUAGGCGGAAUUCAUGGUGUAGCGGUGAAAUGCUUAGAUAUCAUGAAGAACUCCGAUUGCGAAGGCGGAUAACGGGAGUGUUACUGACGCUAAAGCUCGAAAGUGCAGGUAUCGAACAGG
rnacentral:rRNA from 1 species